CUUCUCGCUCACCAGCUUCCCCCGCCUCCAGCCCGCAGUACGCCGGGGCCCGCAGCCAGGCCCCACCCCCUCCCUUUCUUCUCUCCUCCCUCCGGCGGCCCCCCCGCAGGUUGCCAUGGUAGCUAAAUAAACAAACUCGGCGCACGUGGGGGCGGGGGAGAGGGAGGGGCGCGGGCGGGGCCCGGCCCAGCCGUGACGCCAGCCAGGCAGCUGGCUGGUCGGAGCCGCGCUGACGCCGGCGGCGGUGGCUGCGGCGGCCCCGGCGCGGGGCGCUGGGUCUGGGGCACGGUCUGGUCUUCGCGCGACUAGGGCAGUCCGCGUCGCUACGGUCCGCUUUGUGGGUUCGAAGCCCGAGGCUGAGAAGGCUGGUAGGGGCCGAGGGGUCUGUAACGCGCCCGCAACCCCGCUCGCGUACGCGCUUGCGGCUCUCUGCGCGCUGGAGGAGAGCGCGAUUACCCGCGUGACUCACCCAGCCCUCGGUUCCUCCCUUGCGCACGCAGGAGCCCGGCGCUGGUCCCGGAGCGCUAGUGCGGGCGCGUGCCUCGGCCUCGGACGGUUCUUCGCGGGCCCUUCUGCCGCGUGUGCCUGGGGGGUCGAGAGGAAGCGGGUGCCCAGCGCUGUGUGGCGAGUUCUGGGACCAUGAGAAGCCCGGAGGGGUGUUCCCCGCCUGGAAAGGGCGCAGAAAGGGAAACGGAGAUACGGUUUUGCUGUUUAAGGGCGCGAGAAAUGGAGGAAAAGGGCUCAAGAGUAGUCCGUGCGGUGGGGGAGGGCAGAGGGGCUGUGAGGCGCGGGGACACCCUUAACAGGGGAGUCUGAAAGCGCUUUAUAAGCCACGCACUCUUCCACUUCGUGGAUGAGAGGACUGAGUCACAAAGAGGUGAAACGGCCAGGUGAAGGUCAAACGGCAACCCGCUCCUCUGGCCCAGGCGCCGAGCUGCCAAGCCCACAGAAGGGACUUAGCUGGAAAGUGGCCCCGUGCCAGGAAGUGGAGUGAUGCAGUGGGACCCCGGUUCCCGAAAAGGGCACAACGAGCUCGCGGCAGCUGUCCCUGCGCACCGGGAAAAGAAGAGGAAACGGCGAUCGUUAUUUAAGUCUUAUAAAUUCGCCACCCCUCCCCCACUCUCCCCUUAGUUUGAUCAGUAAUUUUCCAGCCGGGAAAUGUUUUUGCCCUCUUCUCUGCAAACAGUGCCUUUUUUUUAAAAACGUGAAUGUGGUGUUCGGUAUCGCUUGCUAAAACGUAGGCUCGCGAGGUGUUUAGUUUGGAUUCAGGCGCGCACAGCCGGGCGCCGCCCGCGCUCUCCACCGAGUCCCCUCACCAGUGAAUGCUGUCGAUCCCGGCCGGCUGUCAACCCAGGAAACGCGAGGAGGAGGACUGGGAAAAGGGUCGAAGCCCCAGCACUGGGCCGAGUGUGCCUUCUCACCCAUUGAGCGCUAGUUGCCUCGUACUUUAAGUCGUUGUCACCUGUUUGUUUGAGUCCGCGAUUCUGCUACCUAUUAGGUUUCUUCAGAAUAUUUGUUCUCCCUGGUUUCUCCACUCCUUGCCUACCACAGAAGCAUUCUUGGAAUGCAUCUCGUCCCAGUGAAUCCACUGGGCCUCCCUGCCAAGGCCAGGAAACCCUCUCUCGGUACAGAGAGUUGGACGCUCUUGAAGAUGACUUCUGUCCUCUAGCUCAGCGUUGGCCAAUGGCUCUGAGGGCCUGCGGUGGGCGGGGGAAUCCUUUGGAAGGGAAACUCGGACCCCCGUCUCCGGGCCUAGAGGGAUUCAAUCCCACUCCAUCAGAGCAGGCCAGUUACUUUAACUCUGAAAAUACUGCCUUUUUCAAAAGGAGGAGCCAAAAAAGGAAAACACCUUCUACCUCCUGAACCCCCUCCUUUCAUUGUGAUGGCAGAAAUGUAUUGGGAUGCUAAGACUUGAGGAUUACAUGGCAAAGUUAUUCACUUCUCAAUCAAGGACAAGGCUAGGUUUCCCAACCCCAACGAACUUGGAUGAGUUUUGGUCCGCAGCCCUUCUCUUGGGGAUGAGCUUUCCCCUGCAACAAAAGUAACCACCAUAAUGAAAAGACAAUAUUACACCGAUGAAUUAAAGCCACCAUCAUAAUGUCACAUAAUCAAGACAAGAUUCUGAAAUUCAACUAAAAAGAUGAACUUGUAGUUUCCAAACAGCCUUCUGGAGGAGGAAAGCCAGUGCCUCUUCGUGGCAGGCAACUAUCUGGUUAUUCUUCUGAUUGCAUCAUAAAGGGAAAUCUCUGUAUUUGCUCCAGAUUUCUAAAAGAGGUAAGGAACUUCAAGUUCACAGAUCAUCUCCUUUCAAGGCAGGUGCCUGGUGUGACAAAAGGGUAUGACCCUCCCUCUCUUCAGAACAGGAAUCAGAGGGAGCAGGAUGUUCAACUAAUAUUAACAACACAGCUCUCAGACUGGGCACCAAAUAUGGUGCUAAGUGCUUUCUAUGCAGCAAGUCAUUUUAUCUCCACACCACCUCUCUGAGGUUGGCACUGCCAUUGGUGACAAGAUUGGGGGUUUCAGGGUCAAGGACCCAGGCAGCCUUGCAGUGAUGCAGUUUGCUGGCACAUAAUAGGUACUCAACUGGUGUUUGUUUAAUAAGUGAACCCCUUUCACAGUUUUUAAAAGUACAGUAUAGAGAUAUCACCUCACACCAGUAAGGAUGGCCAGCAUCGAAAAGACUAAGAACAACAAAUGCUGGUGAAGAUGAGGAGUAGGGGGAACCCUCCUGCACUGCUGGUGGGAAUGUA